rnacentral:rRNA from 1 species
GGGAUUAGCUAGUAGGCGGGGUAAUGGCCCACCUAGGCGACGAUCCCUAGCUGGUCUGAGAGGAUGACCAGCCACACUGGAACUGAGACACGGUCCAGACUCCUACGGGAGGCAGCAGUGGGGAAUAUUGCACAAUGGGCGCAAGCCUGAUGCAGCCAUGCCGCGUGUAUGAAGAAGGCCUUCGGGUUGUAAAGUACUUUCAGCGGGGAGGAAGGCGAUGNGGUUAAUAACCCNGUCGAUUGACGUUACCCGCAGAAGAAGCACCGGCUAACUCCGUGCCAGCAGCCGCGGUAAUACGGAGGGUGCAAGCGUUAAUCGGAAUUACUGGGCGUAAAGCGCACGCANGCGGUCUGUUAAGUCAGAUGUGAAAUCCCCGGGCUUAACCUGGGAACUGCAUUUGAAACUGGCAGGCUU